rnacentral:lncRNA from 1 species
GGGGGGCGCCGCCGCUGCGAAGAGGGAGAUCCCGCUGCAGCGGAGAGCGGGACGGCAACAGCGGGCUCUGAGCCUCGGCGCGCGGCCCGGCCGGCAGCGGGGCACAGCGGCUGCGGGGAGGCGGCCGGGCGAGCCCGGCAGGCCGCCCUCGUGAACAGCCGGCGCCCGGAGGAGCAGCUCCUCCGACACCGACGUGCGCUCGCCGGCUACAAAACUACUUCUGCCCUCGUUGCACUCCGCGGGGAGACCUACCUCCGCCGUUUCCAUUUGCCUCCGCGUCACAGCAGCGCCGUACACAAACAGAAGCGCCAGCGGCCGGGCUGGCACCAGGGACAGACCUUGCCCUGCCAAGGAGGCGGGCCUGCCGUCACACUUGUGACCCGUGCCCAGGGACAACAGGUGGCGGCUCUCCCCGCCGUGAGGCGCGGCCCGGCCCAGCCUGAGGGAGGCGUGCGGCGCCGCGGGGGGCUGGGCCUUGGGCACACCUGCCUGGCUGGUAAAAACCGAUCGUACUGGGGCUGCCGUUAAUCGUUGUGAAGAGGCUGCUGUCGCUGCAAGGAGUUCUGGAGAAAAGACCUCUACGAUCAGCUAGACCAGCCACCAACCCAUCACCACCUACUAACCGUGUUCCUCAGUGCCACAUCUACGCUUGAACACCUCCAGGGAUGGUGACUCCACCACCUCCCUGGGCAGCCCAUUCCAGUGCCUGCCUGACCAUUUUUUCGGGUAAAAGUCAGACACUCUUCUGCAGAACUGAAGCAACAAAUCAAAUACCUCCUUUCUUCAGAAAAAAAAAUUACUUUCAAGUUUCCUCUGAACACUUACAGUGAAACUAUUCUAAGAACAAAGAAAUCCAGUCAAGUAAAGAAGCAUAAAUUUGAAGAAGCUUACAUUCCCUGCAAAGUCACGUUUCAGCUUACCGUUCACAAACAAUCCAGGUAAAAUCUGCUCUGACAAGGACUCUGAGUAGAACACCAUGGAAAACAACACAUUCCUGGAGACUUCCAGUUUGUCUCUCCAUCAAGACUGAAGAAAAUGGAGACACAAAUGAUACAGAGUCAGUGCAUGUAGUAUAAAAGCACUGUAAAAAAAUAUGUCUGUAUAUAUGUUCUAAAUUCCUAUUUAAAUCUAGGGUGCACCACUUCACGCAAGCACUACAUGUGGUUUAUUGCCCACUCAUAUAAAGCAUCUCAACUUUAUUAGUUUUUGCCCUUCUUGGUCGCUCAUUUUCCUUGAGUGAAGUGAGACCAGGGUAUUUGUUUUUUCAUCUCUACUCAUCCCUAUGGGGAAAGGAAAUAAAACAUCCUAGUGAUUUUCUACUCACAUUCUAUCUGCACUUAAUUCCCAGAACUCCAAAACUAUUGCACCAAAUGCAGUCUUUAAAUAUUUAUGGAAUAUUGAAAAAUAUAUUCAGUUUCCACUAUUUGAAAUAGUAGACUUGGAAGAGAAGAAGGAAAUUGCAGUCAUGCUCUCAGUCUUAUCCAUAACUCUGAAAUCAUUUCAGUCUAAAAGAAUACACAGUUCUAUCUACUGCUGUAAAAACAUUUCUGUGUGGGAGGCUAGAACUUUGAACUGCAACUAAAUUACUAAAACUGUUUUUUAAGACAAGGGUCUUUCUGCAGUACUGUGCUAGUAGCAUACUAUUACGUUAUCCUACUACUCGAGUAGAAGAUUGGUUGGAAUAUCUAGCUUUUAGAAAACUUCAUUCUUAGAAAUGUAUUAGAUACCAACAUUUUUAUACAUAGGUUGCACUGAGCUGCUUAGGCUUAGCAAAAUCAUUUCCAGCACAGUUUAGUAGUGGCAGUUGUUUCUUGAAGGAGCACUGAACUAUCAAACACAUCACCUGCUUUGUAACAGCAACAAAAUACCUGUAUUCUCACCUUGUCAAGGAUAUAUUGCUGCCUAAACCCUCUCAAUAAACCUACAAAAUGUAUUACUCAACACUGGAUUGCUCAAGCUUAAAAAGACAAACCUUCAAAGUACUUCAUGUUAUAUAUGUCAACAGCAACAAGAAAAAAAAAAACCAAGAAAAUUAAAAUAGCUUCUGCUAACUUCUCAUUUCAGAUCGCCUUUAGAAACAUGCAAGGCAGUAACAUGUACUCAGCAACUCAUUAUAAAAACGUGUUCCUGUUUGUAAACUGCUGCUUAACACCUUAAGAUAUAGGAACAUUUUGCCUCAAAAAAACCAAACAAAAAACCAACCACCACCACCAAAAAAAAACACCAAAAAACCCCCGCACCUAAAACCCAGCACUAAUCACUUUCCUCUGAAGGUAAUGUGGAAGAUUUCUAAGCGAUAAAAAGGAAUCUUAUUGGUAGAGCAGCAGAGUAUAUGGGAUAUCUCAGUAAUGAAUGGAUGAAGAGUCUGAGUAACAUGUUGAACUCAUUGAGAAAAGAAACCUGAGGACUCUCCCCAGUGUUUAAAUCUGUCCUGGAGGAAAUCCCAACGUCAUCCCUUGCUAGACAUGUUUCUGUAAGCAAUGAAUAUCAGUACUUCGGAACUCUCUCACUACUACGAGUCCAAAAAUU